AAUUUCGUCUGCCGUGUAUCAGAGAUUAGUUUACCUUCUUGUACUAAACAAUGCAUUAAGUCCUCGGCUACUGCUGUUGUCCUGUGUAUUUUUAUAAUUUUGAUAUGUAUUUUAUUUUAGGUAUUCAAGAAAUGGCAACAGCCAGAAGUCACCAUCUUAUCCAGCACGUUAUGGGUACACUCUGGCGGCUCCUACCCCUGCGUCCUACCACCACCCUGUCCCGACUACGUCCACUAGGGAGUUGGAAGCCUUUGGCGGCUUCUGCCACUGCAUCCUGCCACCACCAUGUCCCGACCACGUCCACUAGGGAGUUGGCAGCCUUAGUGAUGAUGCCAAGCAGGCUGACAGCAGACAGAAAUAUUCAGGUUGCCUUGAAAUUUUACCCAAGCCAUGCCACAUACUCGGGCCAGGCCUCUUGCAAACUACGUAUAACCAGGCUCAACGCAUCACUGUCGAGUGAGUCCGGAGAUCAAGGAAACCUGCUGUGCAACCAUCGCGCAACACUUGGUGACCCCUCUACGUGUUCCAUCUAUCCAAACAGCAUCACCAGCUGUUUCUUAUCUGAUCGAUCACUUAUCGAACCAUGGAUGAAUGUUGGGGUGGAGUGAUUUGAACAGACAUUCUAUUUGUCUCUUCAAAUUCUUUGCAAAUGUUUCUAUUAUUAUAAUUCAUAUGUUUCUUUAGUACCUAGUUUUUAAUAGUUCCUUUCUCGUAGAGUUCUGACCAUCAACUCCUGCUAUUAUAAUGUAUACCUGUCUUUAUGCCCCGUUUCUCAUAGUUCUUUUGUACUUGUGGAUGUAAUUGAUAGGUUCUUAAUACUUGUUGUACAGAAGGCUAAAAUGCAAACUUACGGUAUUUUUCCUUCCUUUGAUAACCUACAGCACUGCAAUGUGUUCAAGAAAUUUAACAUAAGACGGGCUCUGGUGCAGGAUAAACUUAAG
rnacentral:lncRNA from 1 species